GCCCGCUUGGCUAAGUGGUAUAGCGUGUCACCAGUAGACAAGUUCAUGAAGGACCUUCCCACUAGAUGCCAUGACAAGAUCAGCGGUUCGAUUCUGCUAGUGGGCA